rnacentral:rRNA from 1 species
UACGGGGGGAGCAAGCGUUGUUCGGAUUUACUGGGCGUAAAGGGCGCGUAGGCGGCCAGCACAAGUCAGUUGUGAAAUCUCCGGGCUUAACUCGGAAAGGUCAACUGAUACUGUGCGGCUAGAGUGCGGAAGGGGCAACUGGAAUUCUUGGUGUAGCGGUGAAAUGCGUAGAUAUCAAGAGGAACACCUGCGGCGAAGGCGGGUUGCUGGGCCGACACUGACGCUGAGGCGCGAAAGCUAGGGGAGCAAACGGG